rnacentral:snoRNA from 1 species
UUCCUUGGAAGACACGCUCACAAGCCUUACCUCUUGACCUUGUCCCUUUGAUCUUGCUGUGAACCCACUGGAGCUGGCUGGGGGAGAAAAGAAAAGUUUAUUACAAAAGGAACUGUCUGAGGAAU